GAUGAAGAACGCAGCGAAAUGCGAUACGUAAUGUGAAUUGCAGAUUUCAGUGAAUCAUCGAAUCUUUGAACGCACAUUGCGCCCGCCAGUAUUCUGGCGGGCAUGCCUGUCCGAGCGUCAUUUCAACCAUCAAGCCCCGGGCUUGUGUUGGGGACCUGCGUCCGACGCAGGCCCCGAAAACCAGUGGCGGGCUCGCUGUCCACACCGAGCGUAGUAGCUAACCUCGCUCCGGAGUGGCGCGGGCGCCUGCCGUAAAACCCCCCAAUUUUACAAGGUUGACCUCGGAUCAGGUAGGAAUACCCGCUGAACUUAAGCAUAUCAAUAAGCGGAGGA
rnacentral:misc_RNA from 1 species